rnacentral:snoRNA from 1 species
UGGUGAGUUCAUAUCCCAGUACCGCCAAAAAAAAAUUAAAAAUACAUAAACUCAUCAUAAACAAAACUGGUUUGUCUUCACUCAGGGCACCAUGAGGAUAGGUUGGCUGUUUGUUAGCACCUUCUGAUCUUUGCAGAGUUAAACAUAA